rnacentral:misc_RNA from 1 species
AACGCACGAGACCUGCGGACCUGCGGAAGGAUCAUUAGUGAACGCCCUCGCGGGCUUAUAACUAUUCCAAACCUCUGUGAACCGUGCCCUUCGGGGCUAUUUUACAAACAUGGUGUAAUGAACGUCAUAUAUCAUAACAAAACAAAACUUUUAGCAACGGAUCUCU